rnacentral:rRNA from 1 species
CCUACGGGUGGCAGCAGUGAGGAAUAUUGGUCAAUGGGCGCGAGCCUGAACCAGCCAAGUCGCGUGAGGGAUGAAGGUUCUAUGGAUCGUAAACCUCUUUUAUAAGGGAAUAAAGUGUGGGAUGUGUCCUAUUUUGUAUGUAUCUUAUGAAUAAGGAUCGGCUAACUCCGUGCCAGCAGCCGCGGUAAUACGGAGGAUCCGAGCGUUAUCCGGAUUUAUUGGGUUUAAAGGGUGCGUAGGCGGCCUUUUAAGUCAGCGGUGAAAGUCUGUGGCUCAACCAUAGAAUUGCAGUUGAAACUGGGGGGCUUGAGUAUGUUUGAGGCAGGCGGAAUGCGUGGUGUAGCGGUGAAAUGCUUAGAUAUCACGCAGAACCCCGAUUGCGAAGGCAACCCGCCAGGCCAUAACUGACGCUGAUGCACGAAAGCGUGGGGAUCAAACAGGAUUAGAUACCCUAGUAGUC